UACGGGGGGGGCAAGCGUUGUUCGGAAUUACUGGGCGUAAAGGGUUCGUAGGUGGCCAACUAAGUCAGACGUGAAAUCCCUCAGCUUAACUGGGGAACUGCGUCUGAUACUGAUUGGCUUGAGUGCAGGAGAGGAACGCGGAAUUCCAGGUGUAGCGGUGAAAUGCGUAGAUAUCUGGAGGAACACCGGUGGCGAAGGCGGGUCUCUGGGCCGAUACUGACGCUGAAGCGCGAAAGCCAGGGGAGCGAACGGG
rnacentral:rRNA from 1 species